CACAGGAUACAGAUGAUGACUCCACACAGGUUCCUGAUGAUCCCCAGGAUUCUACUAGUAAGAAGCAGAAGAAAUCAGUGGCUUUAGAUGUAGUAACUGAUGAUGUUCCAAAUCUUGAUGACAUGGCUGGUACUGAAAGCACAACUGAUAGAAGUGAACUUCAGUUGACCACCAAAGGCACAAUAAAUGAUCCCAGCAAACACGCCCCAAAAAAAUCUUGUUUGUUUUGGCACUGAGGAGCAAAUUAGAGAUGAAGCCAAUGAUAUCACUGAAGUGCCUGAAUUGAAUCAGUCAUCCUCAACAGAAAGACAAUUAGAAGGUGUCUCGAGCAGGUGUGAGUGGAAACCUAUUGAGAA
rnacentral:misc_RNA from 1 species